rnacentral:rRNA from 1 species
GACGAACGCUAGCGGCGUGCUUAACACAUGCAAGUCGAACGGUAAGGCCCUUCGGGAUACACGAGUGGCGAACGGGUGAGUAACACGUGGGUGAUCUGCCCUGCACUUCGGGAUAAGCCUGGGAAACUGGGUCUAAUACCGGAUAGGACCACUGCCUGCAUGGGUGGUGGUGGAAAGCUUUUGCGGUGUGGGAUGGGCCCGCGGCCUAUCAGCUUGUUGGUGGGGUGAUGGCCUACCAAGGCGACGACGGGUAGCCGGCCUGAGAGGGUGACCGGCCACACUGGGACUGAGAUACGGCCCAGACUCCUACGGGAGGCAGCAGUGGGGAAUAUUGCACAAUGGGCGCAAGCCUGAUGCAGCAACGCCGCGUGAGGGAUGACGGCCUUCGGGUUGUAAACCUCUUUCAGCACCGACGAAGCGCAAGUGACGGUAGGUGCAGAAGAAGGACCGGCCAACUACGUGCCAGCCGCCGCAGUAA